UAAGAAUUUAAAAGUCGAACAGACUUAUUAUUAAGAAUACUACCCCUUAAAAUUUUCUUAAUUCAACAUCGAGGUCGCAAAAUAUAAUAUAGAUAUGAACUCCCCAUUAAAAUUACGCUGUUAUCCCUAAGGUAACUUAAUCUUAAUAUCCCUUUCUAUUGGGGAUCUAAAAUUACAUAAAUAAAUGAAUUUCUAAACUAAAGUUAAUUAUUUAAUUGCCACCCCAGCAAAAUAUAAAAUGUAUAUAUUUAAAAAUUUAUUAAUAAAACUUAAUAAUAUAAAAUUAUAUAAAGUUCAAUAGGGUCUUAUCGUCCCAAUAAACUAAUAAAGCAUUUUAACUUUAAAUUUAAAUUUUAAUAUUUAAAAAAAUAAAAUAUAAUUCUCAUAAAUCCAUUCAUACAAGCUUUCAAUUAAAAAACUAAUUACUAUGCUACCUUUGCACAGUCAAAAUACUGCAGCCAUUUAGAAAUUUAAACCAUAGGGCAGGAGAUACUUUUUAUAUAAACCA
rnacentral:rRNA from 1 species